GUCGCUAGUUCUGUGCUGUCAGAGUGACAAGAUUUUGAAUGUCUCGCGUAGCUACUUCGCUUGAUAAUGUUGCUCAAAGUAUUUUGAUAUUUUUGACAACGAAAAAAAUGUCAAACUCAAAGACAGAAUCCAAAAGGAGGAAUUCGAUGAUGCUUUAACUCUCGGAAAGCCUUAAAGAUUGGGAAUUUCCAUGUGAAGCAAUCUUAAAGGAUCCUUAUAGCGCUCCUACGUUUCUAUUGUCUGGUUACAUAACAAUUGACGAAGGCGCCUGAUUACGGAUUGAAGUCUUGCCAAAAAUACAAUUCUGACACCAGGGAAUUAUUUAUGUUAACUAUUACGUCAUUUUACUAAUUCAAGAUCAGUAAUUUAUUGUCAUCAACCGAAAGUGAAUAGCGCCAGAGUUUACAGUCACAAAUGAUAGAAAGGGAAAAUCUCCUUGGAUCGAAUCCAACACAUGCUACGGACUUCAGUUUCAGAAUUAUGAGGUCAUUUUUCAUUUUUCUAUUUUUUCAGUUUCGUGUACCUUUAGGAAUUAAAAUGAACGACGAAACAAAAUCUUUAAAAAAAGGUAUAAACUUUUGAGACGAGGAGGCAGUUUUGCGGUCUGAAGGAAAGAUCCUCCUUAAUGGAGGAAGUGUAAGGACGUCACAAAGCAUGACGUCAGAGCUCAAAGAGGUUCCGUGCGAUUCCUUGUCAAGCCAAUAUAUUGGCUGUUUUUUCCGUUUUUUGGUUGACAAUUUUUCCUUCUUGAUUUAAGACCACUUUUGGAACAGAUUACAUGUAAAACUUCACACACAAGGUUUUUCUAGUUACCAUCGAAUAGCAAAUCCUACUCAGUUUCAUUCAAACAUACCCAAGGAUUGGUGCGUGAUAUAUCAAAUCACUGAGGUUCAUCAAUUGGCACAAAACUCAACCAGCCAAUAUAAGUAAUUGCUAUUUUUGUUUAAAUGUCGUUAACACAUCUAGAAAAUAUCAAUAAAACGUGAACAAUGA